CGCGGCCUAUCAGCUUGUUGGCGGGGUAACGGCCCACCAAGGCAACGACGGGUAGCUGGUUUGAGAGAACGAUCAGCCACACUGGAACUGAGACACGGUCCAGACUUCUACGGAAGGCAGCAGUAGGGAAUCUUGCGCAAUGGGCGAAAGCCUGACGCAGCGACGCCGCGUGCGGGAUGACGGCCCUAGUGGUUGUAAACCGCUUUCAGCAGGGACGAAAAUGACGGUACCUGCAGAAGAAGUCCCGGCUAACUACGUGCCAGCAGCCGCGGUAAUACGUAGGGGACAAGCGUUGUCCGGAUUCAUUGGGCGUAAAGAGCUCGUAGGCGGUUCAGUAAGUUGGGUGUGAAAGCUCCGGGCUCAACCCGGAGAGGCCACUCAAUACUGCUGUGACUAGAGUCCAGUAGAGGAGCGUGGAACUCCUGGUGUAGCGGUGAAAUGCGCAGAUAUCAGGAAGAACACCGGCAGCGAAGGCGGCGCUCUGGGCUGGUACUGACGCUGAGGAGCGAAAGCAUGGGUAGCAAACAGGAUUAGAUACCCUGGUAGUCCAUGCCGUAAACGUUGGGCACUAGGUGUGGGGAGGAAUCAACCCUCUCCGUGCCGCAGCUAACGCAUUAAGUGCCCCGCCUGGGGAGUACGG
rnacentral:rRNA from 1 species